rnacentral:rRNA from 1 species
UGCCAGCCGCCGCGGUAAUACGGAGGGAGCGAGCGUUGUCCGGAAUCAUUGGGCGUAAAGAGCAUGUAGGUGGAUCAAUUAGUCUGCUGUGAAAGUCAAAGGCUCAACCUUUGAAAGCCGGUGGAUACUGUUGAUCUAGAGUACGGAAGAGGCGAGUGGAAUUCCUGGUGUAGCGGUGGAAUUCGUAGAUAUUAGGAAGAACACCAGUGGCGAAGGCGGCUUUCUGGACCGAUACUGACGCUGAGACGCGAAAGCGUGGGGAGCAAACAGGAUUAGAUA